rnacentral:snRNA from 1 species
GUGCUUGCUGUAGCAGCACAUAUACUAAAACUGGAACGAUCCAGAGAAGAUUAGCAUGGCCCUUGGGCAAGGAUGACAUGCAAAUCUGUGAAGACUUCCACAUUUUU